rnacentral:snRNA from 1 species
UAGUUUUACAGGUUUUUUUUUAGAAUUUGUCUAGCAGGUUUUUCAGUCUCUACUGGAAAGCCCCC